GUGCUGGAACCCAACAGACAGCCCAGUAAGGAGACCAGACGAGGGCCCGCAGCAGCCGUGAAACACCACCAACACCGAAGGCAAAGAGAUUACAAACAACAGGAACUCCCUGCUCACGGUUCUGUCUUGCGCCCUGGACAGGAUAUCAUCUUAUACUGUAAGUUUAUUAAAGAGACACUACAGUAUAGAUGAUGUACUAUCCAGGGUUUCAUCAACCCUCCGGUGCCAUCAGGACUCCAACACUUCAACUGACUGAAGGCUGCACACACUGCAGAGGGAGGCAGUCAAACCGUUACCAUUACUGAGUUUUAGUAAUGGUAAGGGUUCUACGGCCUUCUCUCAAUGUCAUCUAGAUCAGGACCAACGGGAGGAAACGCUGCUGACUGAUGUGCUUCUGCCAGAUACCUUUUAUUUCUUUUCUUUGUUUUGCUUUGUUUUUUUUUGAGGUGCAUGUGAAAUAAAGUGUGUGGUCCUUAAA